rnacentral:rRNA from 1 species
CCUACGGGUGGCUGCAGUGAGGAAUAUUGGUCAAUGGACGAGAGUCUGAACCAGCCAAGUAGCGUGAAUGAUGACUGCCCUAUGGGUUGUAAACUUCUUUUAUAUGGGAAUAAAAUGUUCCACGUGUGGGUUUUUGUAUGUACCAUAUGAAUAAGGAUCGGCUAACUCCGUGCCAGCAGCCGCGGGACUACGGAGGAUCCGAGCGUUAUCCGGAUUUAUUGGGUUUAAAGGGAGCGUAGGUGGGUUGUUAAGUCAGUUGUGAAAGUUUGCGGCUCAACCGGAAAAUUGCAGUUGAAACUGGCAGUCUUGAGUGCAGUAGAGGAGAGCGGAAUUCGAUGUGUAGCGGUGAAAUGCUUAGAUAUAACGAAGAACUCCAAUUGCGAAGGCAGCUCACUGGACUGCAACUGACACUGAGGCUCGAAAGUGUGGGUAUCAAACAGGAUUAGAUACCCGAGUAGUC